UGGAAGGAGGGGGAGAUCGGAUUGCUUCUCCCGCCGCCUCCCGCAACUAGGAGGAGCAGCAUCGGUCCCACGAGAACUGCCUGGACGCUGCCUCCGACGACCUGCUGGAUCUGCAGAGGAACUUACCCGAGCGGCGGGGCCGCAGCCGGGAGCUGGAGGAAUACCGCCUGCGGAAGGAGUACCUAGAGCACGAGAAAACCCGCUAUGAAAUGUACGUUCAGCUGCUGAUGACCCGUCUGCACUGCCCCUCGGAUGACCUGGACCUGUGGGAGGAGCAGCUGGGGAGGGAAGCCGCAGGCACCCAGGAGCCCAAGCCCAGCCUGAAGAAGUCCCACUCCAGCCCCUCCCUGCACCAGGACGAGGCCCCCACCACCGCCAAGGUGAAGCGCAACAUCUCAGAGCGCAGAACCUACCGGAAGAUUAUCCCCAAGCGGAACCGCCAUCAGCUGUGAAGCGUCACUCACAGACCUUGGCCCCUGCUCUGGGGCGGACCUGGGAUGAAACCCUGUGGGAUGGAGGGGAGGCCCCUGCUCUGCUAGGGGCAGGCCUCUCUGAGCUCGCCCGAGUACUGCUCUGCCCUGCCCUGCCCCCGCGGCAGGUCCUCAGCCGCCUGGUCCCUGGCCACUCCCGAGGGAGGAGAGAAACCAAAGAUUUGGCUCCACUCCCAGAGUUUGUCCCAUGUCUCUCUUCAUUCCUCCAAAAUCCAGAAAGGCCCCUUUUCCUGGGCCUGGGGCAGCUCAGCGCUUGUUGGGGAAGCGGAGCAGAUGGUCCCUGGCUUCCAGGAGAGACCCUGGGGCAGCCGAGGCCUCUGGGCAGUCAGGCCCCGGGGAUGGUCUUGCUCUGGGAAUCAGGUGACCUGCUGAGAGAGGCCUGGAAAGAAAUCCCACCCCCGCCAAGCCUCCUGUUGCUCAGGCCCUGCUCAGGGUGGGGCCCCUGUCAGGGGCAGGGCCUGGAAGGCAGGCAGGCGGCAGGGCUCCCGGAGGCUGGCUCUGGGGACUGCACCUUUGUCUCCUCAUCCCUACAGUCAGCCCUGCACCAGGGCCAAUGAGAGCGCCCCACCUCCAUGCCCAAUUGCUACUCAACAGAGCAGAGCCAAUGGCCCCAAAGCGGUGGGGGCUCCAGGGCUCUGGGGAGCCCAGAACAAGGGGCCUUUGUGUCCCAAGCGCCAGGAAAGAGGCUCAGAUCCAUGGGGAGCCUGAGGAAGAGGUGGUGACACAGCCCCUGGGGCUCUCCUGGCAGGAGCUGCCACUGUGGAAGGGUUGAGAGUCAUAGUGGAGGCCUGGACCCCCUCCCUGCACCCCAACCCUUAAAGCUCUAUUCCCCAGGGGCACCAGGCUCCUCUGGGCCCCUGCCCUCCCUGUAUGUCCCCUGGAGCUGUCCUCUGGCUACUCUCAGCUGGGCCUGUUCUCAGGGUGGGGCAGGGGGUGGGGAGGGCUCUGGACACCCACGGAUCUGAGGCUGUGCCAGUGGAAAGGAGGCUGGGCUGGGGGAGCAGCUACCAUUGUCUCUGUUCAGCCAAGUGUGCCCACAGGCUGCCCGCCAAGAGGGGCCUCUGCUGCCUGCCUGCUGCCUGCUGGCUGACGCACGGCCUCUCCACUUCCCUGCUGGGCCUCCCCCUCCUGUCCAUGCUUGUAACCAGCCCUGUGGCCUGGAACUCCCCCAGGCUGGGCUGGCCCUGGGGGGCCAUGAGAGGUUUCUGAUCAGGGCCAGGGGCUGAGCCAUGCACCCAAUGGGUGUGCAAUAAAUACAGGCCAUUGAA